rnacentral:rRNA from 1 species
GACGAACGCUGGCGGCGUGCCUAAUACAUGCAAGUCGAACGCAGUUGCGAACGGGUGAGUAACGCGUAGGUAACUGCCGCAUAGCGGGGGUUAAAUAUGGGAACCGAUAGCAAAAACCGCAUACUGUGAGAUGGACCUUCGGUGUGUUAGGUGGGUGGUGAGGUAAAGGGACACCAAGGCGACGAUACAUUGCCGACCUGAGAGGGGGAUCCGCCACACUUGGACCGGGGCACCGGCCAAACUCCUACCGGAGGGAAGCAGAGGGAAACAUCGGCCAUGGACGGAAAGCUGGACGAACAACGCCGGGGGGGUGAAAGAGGGUUUCGGGUCGGAAAGCUCCGUUGUUAGGGGAGCGGUAACUAACCAGAAAGGGACGGCUAACUACGUGCCAGCAGCCGCGGUAAUUC